AACGAACGCUGGCGGCAUGCCUAACACAUGCAAGUCGAACGGGACCUUCGUGUCUGCUGGCGAAUGGGUGCGUAACGCGUGGGAACCUGCCCUUAUGUUCGGAAUUACACUUCGAAAUGGGUGCUAAUACCGGAUAAUGUCUUCGGAUCAAAGCUUUAUCGCCUUUGGAUGGGCCCGCGUUGUUUUAGCUUGUUGGUAGGGUAAAAGCCUACCAAGGCGACGAUCGAUAGCUGGUUGGAGAGGAUGAUCAGCCACACUGGGACUGAGACACGGCCCAGACUGCUAGGGGAGGCGGCGAUGGGGAAUAUUGGACAAUGGGCGUGAGCCAGAUACGGCGAGGGGGCGUGAGUGAUGAAGGCGUUAGGGUUGUAAAGCGCUAUUAACCGGGAUGAUAAUGACAGUACCGGGAGAAUAAGCACCGGCUAACUCCGUG
rnacentral:rRNA from 1 species